rnacentral:rRNA from 1 species
GCCAGUGAAAGUCCUGCCAACUGACGGAAUAGUUGGUUAAAGGGUGUAGAUGUUGAGGGGGAUAGGCAAAUCCGUUCCCUGAGUCGAACCUGAUAGUACCGAGCGUACUUGUACAAUCGGAUGUGGAUGUAAACAUACUGCCAAGAAAAACCGCAACGCGCUAAUUCAUAAAGUACCCGUACCACAAACGGACACACGUGGUCAAGUAGAAAAUACUAAGGCGCUCGAGUGAUUCACAGCUAAGGAACUAGGCAAAAUAGUCAUGUAACUUCGGGAAAAAUGACGCCUCCUCCUGUUGAGGGAGAGGCCGCAGAGAAAUGGCCCAGGCGACUGUUUAACAAAAACAUAGGGCUUUGCAAAAUCGAAAGAUGAAGUAUAAGGCCUGACACCUGCCCGGCGCUGGAAGGUUAAGAGGAGAUGUUAGGGUAACCGACGCAUUGAAUUGAAGCCCCAGUAAACGGCGGCCGUAACAAUAACGGUCCUAAGGUAGCGAAAUUCCUUGUCGGGUAAGUCCGACCUGCACGAAUGGUGUAACGAUCUGGGCACUGUCUCAGCUGUGAGCUCGGUGAAAUUGUAGUAUCGGUGAAGAUGCCGAUUACCCGCAACGGGACGGAAAGACCCCGCGAACCUUUACUGCAACUUUACAUUGAAUUUGGGUAAUUGAUGUGUAGGAUAGGCCGGAGACUGCGAAGCAGGUACGCUAGUAUUUGUGGAGUCAUCCUUGAAAUACGGCCCUUUAAUUAUUUGGAUUCUAACUCCCUUAUAGGGAGGACACUGUAUGGUGGGUAGUUUGACUGGGGUGGUCGCCUCCAAAAGAGUAACGGAGGCUUCCAAAGGUGCGCUCAGGCCGAUUGGUAACCGGUCGCAGAGUAUAAUGGUAUAAGCGCGCUUGACUGAGAGACCGACAAGUCGAUCAGGUAGGAAACUAGGGCAUAGUGAUCCGGUGGUUCCGCAUGGAAGGGCCAUCGCUCAAAGGAUAAAAGGUACUCCGGGGAUAACAGGCUGAUCAUUCCCAAGAGCUCAUAUCGACGGAAUGGUUUGGCACCUCGAUGUCGGCUCGUCACAUCCUGGGGCUGGAGAAGGUCCCAAGGGUUGGGCUGUUCGCCCAUUAAAGUGGCACGCGAGCUGGGUUCAGAACGUCGUGAGACAGUUCGGUCCCUAUCUGUUGUGGGCGCAGGAAAUUUGCGAAGGUCUGACACUAGUACGAGAGGACCGUGUUGGACGAACCUCUGGUCGAUCGGUUGUUCCGCCAGGAGCAUUGCCGAGUAGCCACGUUCGGAUAGGAUAAGUGCUGAAAGCAUCUAAGCACGAAGCCAUCUUCAAGAUUAGAUUUCCAUUGAGGGUCGUCGAAGACUACGACGUUGAUAGGUUACAGGUGUACAACAGAAAUGUAGAGCCGAGAAUACUAAUUGCG